CACGUAGGGUGCAAGCGUUGUCCGGAAUCAUUGGGCGUAAAGAGCUCGUAGGCGGCUUGUCACGUCGGGUGUGAAAGCCCGGGGCUUAACCCCGGGUCUGCAUUCGAUACGGGCUAGCUAGAGUGUGGUAGGGGAGAUCGGAAUUCCUGGUGUAGCGGUGAAAUGCGCAGAUAUCAGGAAGAACACCCGUGGCGAAGGCGGUUCUCUGGGACGGUACUGACGCUGAGACGCGAAAGCGUGGGGAGCGAACAGG
rnacentral:rRNA from 1 species